UACGGGGGGGGCAAGCGUUGUUCGGAAUUACUGGGCGUAAAGGGCUCGUAGGCGGCCAACUAAGUCAGACGUGAAAUCCCUCGGCUUAACCGGGGAACUGCGUCUGAUACUGGAUGGCUGGAGUUUGGGAGAGGGAUGCGGAAUUCCAGGUGUAGCGGUGAAAUGCGUAGAUAUCUGGAGGAACACCGGUGGCGAAGGCGGCAUCCUGGACCAAUAUUGACGCUGAGGAGCGAAAGCUAGGGGAGCAAACAGG
rnacentral:rRNA from 1 species